UUGAAGAGUUUGAUCAUGGCUCAGAUUGAACGCUGGCGGCAGGCCUAACACAUGCAAGUCGAGCGGUAGCACAGAGAGCUUGCUCUCGGGUGACGAGCGGCGGACGGGUGAGUAAUGUCUGGGAAACUGCCUGAUGGAGGGGGAUAACUACUGGAAACGGUAGCUAAUACCGCAUAACGUCGCAAGACCAAAGUGGGGGACCUUCGGGCCUCAUGCCAUCAGAUGUGCCCAGAUGGGAUUAGCUAGUAGGUGGGGUAACGGCUCACCUAGGCGACGAUCCCUAGCUGGUCUGAGAGGAUGACCAGCCACACUGGAACUGAGACACGGUCCAGACUCCUACGGGAGGCAGCAGUGGGGAAUAUUGCACAAUGGGCGCAAGCCUGAUGCAGCCAUGCCGCGUGUGUGAAGAAGGCCUUCGGGUUGUAAAGCACUUUCAGCGGGGAGGAAGGCGAUAAGGUUAAUAACCUUGUCGAUUGACGUUACCCGCAGAAGAAGCACCGGCUAACUCCGUGCCAGCAGCCGCGGUAAUACGGAGGGUGCAAGCGUUAAUCGGAAUUACUGGGCGUAAAGCGCACGCAGGCGGUCUGUCAAGUCGGAUGUGAAAUCCCCGGGCUCAACCUGGGAACUGCAUUCGAAACUGGCAGGCUAGAGUCUUGUAGAGGGGGGUAGAAUUCCAGGUGUAGCGGUGAAAUGCGUAGAGAUCUGGAGGAAUACCGGUGGCGAAGGCGGCUCCCUGGACAAAGACUGACGCUCAGGUGCGAAAGCGUGGGGAGCAAACAGGAUUAGAUACCCUGGUAGUCCACGCCGUAAACGAUGUCGAUUUGGAGGUUGUGCCCUUGAGGCGUGGCUUCCGGAGCUAACGCGUUAAAUCGACCGCCUGGGGAGUACGGCCGCAAGGUUAAAACUCAAAUGAAUUGACGGGGGCCCGCACAAGCGGUGGAGCAUGUGGUUUAAUUCGAUGCAACGCGAAGAACCUUACCUGGUCUUGACAUCCACAGAACUUUCCAGAGAUGGAUUGGUGCCUUCGGGAACUGUGAGACAGGUGCUGCAUGGCUGUCGUCAGCUCGUGUUGUGAAAUGUUGGGUUAAGUCCCGCAACGAGCGCAACCCUUAUCCUUUGUUGCCAGCGGUUAGGCCGGGAACUCAAAGGAGACUGCCAGUGAUAAACUGGAGGAAGGUGGGGAUGACGUCAAGUCAUCAUGGCCCUGACCAGGCUACACACGUGCUACAAUGGCAUAUACAAAGAGAAGCGACCUCGCGAGAGCAAGCGGACCUCAUAAAGUAUGUCGUAGUCCGGAUUGGAGUCUGCAACUCGACUCCAUGAAGUCGGAAUCGCUAGUAAUCGUAGAUCAGAAUGCUACGGUGAAUACGUUCCCGGGCCUUGUACACACCGCCCGUCACACCAUGGGAGUGGGUUGCAAAAGAAGUAGGUAGCUUAACCUUCGGGAGGGCGCUUACCACUUUGUGAUUCAUGACUGGGGUGAAGUCGUAACAAGGUAACCGUAGGGGAACCUGCGGUUGGAUCACCUCCUU
rnacentral:rRNA from 1 species